GACGAACGCUGGCGGCGUGCCUAAUACAUGCAAGUCGAGCGAAUAGACGUUGACCUUACCCCUCUGACGUGAGAGACAGAGGGGUGCGUAAGACGUGGAUAACCUACCUAAACGAGCCGAAUAACGUCGGGAAACAGGAGCUAACAGGUGCUAAUAUAUCAAAACGCAAGGUACCACAGGGAAAGUGGGUGAUGGGGGCUCUUGCGGCAGUGAUGGCGGGACCCGCGGUGCUUUGGAUAGUUGGGGGGUAACCGGGCUACCAAGGCUGCGAUGCAUAGCCGGCCUGAGAGGGUGGUCGGCCACACUGGGACUGAGACACGGCCCAGACUCCUACGGGAGGCAGCAGUAGGGAAUCUUCCGCAAUGGACGCAAGUCUGACCGAGCAACGCCGCGUGAGUGAAGAAGGUUUUCGGAUCGUAAAACUCUGUUGUUAGAGAAGAACAAGGAUGAGAGUGGAAAGUUCAUCCCUUGACGGUAUCUAACCAGAAAGCCACGGCUAACUACGUG
rnacentral:rRNA from 1 species